GGUUGGGAGGGGGCUCGAGGCCAUCAGGCUCCAGGCCGCACUUGGCGCUGCCCCCUGGCGCCAGGGAAACAAAGGGACGGGGGUCUUGCUAGGUUGCCAAGGCUGGUCUUGAACUCCUGACUUCAAGCAGUCCUCCCACCUCAGCCUCCUAGGGUGUCCGGAUUACAGGCAUGAGCCACUGUGCCCGGCCCCCUAUCACGAUAUCCAUAAGAUGCCAGGAUGCCCAGGAACCGAGUUUGAAAGACAUUGUGCUGCUGAUCCCACCUCCUGACUUUACAGCUGCUGAAUUGCAGAAGACAAAUUGGUAGCUAACAGGAGGCUCCAUCCUGGAUCCUGCCCCUGUCCGUGAGAUUCAGCCUUGAUUAACUGUGUUCCCAUGCUGGUCGUGAGCAGGGCACCAUCCUAGGUCCUUCUUUAUACUCAUUUUCCAUCUCCAGCCAAAAUGGGUUGAACCGAGGAACAAGGACAUAAUCUGUAAAGAGCAAGUGCAAGUCUCUGCUCUGCCAUUACCAGCAUCAGGCUAAUCAAGCCCUUGGAAACUCAAUUUCUUCUCCUGUAAAAUGUGAAUAACUGUUACAGACCUG
rnacentral:lncRNA from 1 species